UACGUAGGGUGCGAGCGUUGUCCGGAAUUACUGGGCGUAAAGAGCUCGUAGGUGGUUUGUCGCGUUGUCCGUGAAAACUCACAGCUUAACUGUGGGCGUGCGGGCGAUACGGGCAGACUGGAGUACUGCAGGGGAGACUGGAAUUCCUGGUGUAGCGGUGGAAUGCGCAGAUAUCAGGAGGAACACCGGUGGCGAAGGCGGGUCUCUGGGCAGUAACUGACGCUGAGGAGCGAAAGCGUGGGUAGCAAACGGG
rnacentral:rRNA from 1 species